rnacentral:rRNA from 1 species
AUUGAACGCUGGCGGCAGGCCUAACACAUGCAAGUCGAGCGAACGGCGGACGGGUGAGUAAUGUAUGGGGACUGCCCGAUAGAGGGGGAUAACUACUUGACACGGUAGCUAAUACCGCAUACUAUCGGAUAACCCAUAUGGGAUUAUCUAGUAGGUGAGGUAAUGGCUCACCUAGGCGACGAUCCCUAGCGGGUCUGAGAGGAUGAUAAGCCACACGGGGACGGAGACACGGCCCAGACUCCUACGGAGGCAGCAGUGGGGAAGAUUGCACAAUGGGGGAAAGCCUGAUGCAGCCAUGCCGGGUGUAUGAAGAAGGCCCUAGGGUUGUAAAGUACUUUCAGUCGGGAGGCGUUACCGACAGAAGAAGCACCGGCUAACUCCGUGCCAGCAGCCGCGGUAAAC